rnacentral:tRNA from 1 species
UCCCUUGUGGUUCAGUGGUUAGGACUCUGCGCUUCCACUGCAGGGGGGCACGGGUUCAAUCCCUGGUCAGGGAA